UGGAUUAAUAAUGAGGAAGCCUCAUUAAUCAAGGACUAUGAUUAAUUUAAUCCUGUUCAUCUGAGGGCCAAU
ensembl:snoRNA